UACGUAGGCAGCAAGCGUUGUUCGGAGUUACUGGGCGUAAAGGGUGUGUAGGCGGUUCUUUUAAGUUUGGUGUGAAAUCUCCCGGCUCAACCGGGAGGGUGCGCCGAAUACUGAGGGACUAGAGUACGGGAGAGGAAAGUGGAAUUCCUGGUGUAGCGGUGAAAUGCGUAGAUAUCAGGAGGAACACCGGUGGUGUAGACGGCUUUCUGGACCGUAACUGACGCUGAGACACGAAAGCGUGGGUAGCAAACAGG
rnacentral:rRNA from 1 species